rnacentral:rRNA from 1 species
CCUACGGGAGGCAGCAGUGGGGAAUAUUGCGCAAUGGGCGAAAGCCUGACGCAGCGACGCCGCGUGAGGGAUGAAGGUCUUCGGAUCGUAAACCUCUGUCAGCAGGGAAGAACGGUCACUGUGCUAAUCAGCAGUGAAUUGACGGUACCUGCAAAGGAAGCACCGGCUAACUCCGGGCCAGCAGCCGCGGUAAUACGGAGGGUGCGAGCGUUAAUCGGAAUUACUGGGCGUAAAGCGCUCGUAGGCGGUCCGGAAAGUCAGCGGUAAAAGCCCGGGGCUCAACCCCGGCGAGCCGUUGAAACUGUCGGACUAGAGACGGCGAGAAGUACGCGGAAUGCGAGGUGUAGCGGUGAAAUGCAUAGAUAUCGCGCAGAACUCCGAUUGCGAAGGCAGCGUACCGGCGCCGGACUGACGCUGAGGCACGAAAGCGUGGGUAUCGAACAGGAUUAGAUACCCGAGUAGUC